CUCCAAGUCAGGCAGGAGCAAGGAGGGAAGGCAAGCAGAGCAGGAGGUUCUGCAGAGGGAAUCCACUGAAGUUAGUGACUGGUAGACUGGUGAGUGAGGGAGAGCCCUAAGUCUGUCUUCUGUGACAUUCUGGGGGAUGGCAUCGUCAACCGAGGAAGGAAAGAUGGACAAAAGAGCAGUGGGUGUUGUAUUGGAGGAAUUGUGGGGAG
rnacentral:lncRNA from 1 species